rnacentral:rRNA from 1 species
UACGUAGGGCGCAAGCGUUGUCCGGAAUUAUUGGGCGUAAAGAGCUCGUAGGCGGCUUGUCACGUCGGGUGUGAAAGCCCGGGGCUUAACCCCGGGUCUGCAUUCGAUACGGGCUAGCUAGAGUGUGGUAGGGGAGAUCGGAAUUCCUGGUGUAGCGGUGAAAUGCGUAGAUAUCGUAAGGAAGACCAGUGGCGAAGGCGGGUCUCUGGACAUUUCCUGACGCUGAGGCACGAAAGCCAGGGGAGCAAACGGG